UUAGACUCCAAAGCUGUUCAAUCAUCGAAAUUUGCUCAUUGGUUUUUCGAAGAAGAGAGGAAACAGGAAGAUGAUCCUUCAUCAAGCAGGCCUGGUGAUCUGCUUGCAUUAAUUGUUGGUGGCGAUAAAAACAGAACACAACCUUUUGAGGCUAAUCCUUCAGAUCAAUUCCCAUCAGAAUUCUCCUAUCAUAGUCCUGAUCCUACAAGUAAGUUUGUCUCCAAUUUUCCUUCUUCGCCACUUGGGGGGCCUGAGCCUGUGUAUAAGCCCAGUAAGAGGGAGGCAGCACCCACAAUUCUUACUUGUGAAGACCUUGAGCAUACAAUGUUGUCUGAGUUCAGCGAAAAGAAGUCUAAUUCGCAGCCACAAGGCUGGAAUACUAAUCACACAAAGCCUAAGGAACCUGUAAUUGUGGAUAGCCAGGCAUCUCAACACCUCCUUUCAUUAUUACAGAAGAGGCCAGAUCAUGGAAAUGUGACAGAGAAGUCCAAUGCUGGAAUUGAAUCCUUGGAGGCACGUGGCGAUAUUACCAUGCAAGACAGAUCUAAGAAGGAAGAUAACAAGGAUACACUCACACUUGAAUCACUUUUUGGAACUGCUUUUAUGACCGAAUUACAAUCUGCACAAGCUCCAGUUUCAGUUCAGAGGAUUUCAGUUGGUUCUGGACAAAAUGUUUCUCUGGAGGCUCAAAAAUCAUCCUUGCCUGGUUCUGAUGAUACCCUUUCUUCUUUGAUAAUUGAUGAUAGAGCAACUAAGGAGAAUAUUGUCUUAUCUUCAAGUUGCAGAGAUCACACAAAGCUGGAUAAGGCAGAAAACUGGUUGGGUUGCAAUGAUUCCUUGUAUGAAGUCAAUUCCUUGAGGCGCCAGACUGAAGCGGUCUCCAGAAAUGGUGAUUAUCGGGCUGGUGGAUUUCAUCUACCUGUUGGCGAUCCUUUGGUACCCCAGGUCUCUACGUUUAUGCCCGCAGAAAAUAUGGGUAAAAGUGAUUUGAUGACUGUUAAUUCAGUUGGCAGUGAUCAAAUGUCUUUGAUGGGUCCAGGAGCACUGCCCUUUCCACGGGCUUCUCACGAACAGAUAGAGUCUGAGAUGCUGUUUCACCAUCACCAUCUCCAUGGUCAACCAUCAUCUUCUCAAUUUCAUCCUUUGCAAAUGAAUCAAGGGAAACCAUUACUUCAUCCAUUGGAUUCUCGUCCUGCUCAUUUGAACACUCAGAUUAUGUCUGGUCCAGAGGGCAUGACUCGACAUGAUGCCGUUCCAGGUCAUCAAUUUGCUGGAAACAUGAUGAGAUCUCCUUUUCACCACCCUAAUGCUAGGGUGACAGGGUUUGAUAUUCCUGCUCAUCAUCCUAUGCUGCAGCAGAUGCAAAUGUCUGGACCUCACCCCCGUCAUCUGCUACAUGACCGUCUAAGUGGUGCCCCAGUUCCUUCACAUUCCAGUAAUCAGGCAGCUGGCUUUGUGCAUGAAGCUAACCCAAUGCAAGGGUUCCCUUUUAAACCUCACCAAGUCAACGUUAAUGGGAUCGGGAUGCAAAUUCCAGGCCCAGACAUCAACAGCCGAAACAAUCAUCCUGAUGCCCUGCAAAGGCUUAUCGAGAUGGAGCUUAGGGCUUCUAAGCAGAUUCACCCUUUUCCUGCUGGGCGGGGACAGGGGAUGUAUGGUCACGAGCUUGACAUGGGAAUGCGACAUAGAUAAGGUUAACGUCUUUUAUGUGGUACUGAUAUAGACCAUCACUUAUGGGCAAGAUAUCAGGAGAAAUGACAUAAUACUUAGAUUCUACUUUUUCGUACUAGGUGGUGGGUUUAGGGUUACUGUCUGUCAUCUCUACAUACAUCAGUAAAGGAGUGGCAGGAAUGGGCCACUGUAUCGACAUCUCUUACUAUAUUGUGCAAACAUGGUUGAAAUUCUCGUCAGUUCUUCUUGAUCUGAUUGUUACCCGCUCGCUCCCUUAUCCCCUUCCCUUUUCUUGGACAUGUCUUUUAGUUUUCCCCAGAAAGAACUGUGUUGUAUAGCACCAGAAUACAGGCUAUUCCUAUUUCAAAUAUGGAGGCGCAGUAGCAAUAGCAACGAUGGGCAUGGAUGGUGCUGAAGAAGCAAUCUGGUUUCCAUGUGAGUGCCUUGUAUUAGUAGAUAAUUGUUGAAAGGCAAAAAGGAGGACCUAGCUGGUCUAUGAAGUGUUGUUUAUAAGUUGUUGUAAUUAACUUAG
rnacentral:misc_RNA from 1 species